rnacentral:rRNA from 1 species
UCCAGACUCCUACGGGAGGCAGCAGUGGGGGAUAUUGCACAAUGGGGGGAACCCUGAUGCAGCGACGCCGCGUGGGUGAAGGAGCACCUCGGUGCGUAAAGCCCUCUCGGCAGGGAAGAAACAGACGGUACCUGACUAAGAAGCCCCGGCUAACUACGUGCCAGCAGCCGCGGUAAUACGUAGGGGGCAAGCGUUAUCCGGAUUCACUGGGUGUAAAGGGAGCGUAGACGGCGACGCAAGUCUGGAGUGAAAGCCCGGGGCCCAACCCCGGGACUGCUCUUGGAACUGCGCGGCUGGAGUGCAGGAGGGGCAGGCGGAAUUCCUGGUGUAGCGGUGAAAUGCGUAGAUAUCAGGAGGAACACCGGUGGCGAAGGCGGCCUGCUGGACUGCGACUGACGUUGAGGCCCGAAAGCGUGGGGAGCAAACAGGAUUAGAUACCCUCGUAU